rnacentral:rRNA from 1 species
AGAACGAACGCUGGCGGCGUGCUUAACACAUGCAAGUCGAACGAGAAAGCCCGCAAGGGUGAGUAAAGUGGCGAACGGGUGCGUAACACGUGGGUAAUCUGCCCUGGUGACCGGAAUAACAUUCCGAAAGGAGUGCUAAUAACCGGAUAAGACCACGGGGUCUUCGGACCUUGAAGGUAAAAAGACAGCCUCUGCAUGCAAGCUGUCACACCAGGAUGACGCCCGCGGCCCAUCAGCGUAGGUUGGCGGGGUAAUCGGCCCAACCAAGGUCUUUGGACGGGUAGCGUGGUCUGAGAGGACGACUCACGCCACACGUGGAACUGGACGACCGACGG